UCUAUUAUGACAGAUUAAAUGUAUUGAAUUUAAACCUCAAAAAUAAAGAACUUUAUGUUUUUUUUUAGAA
rnacentral:tRNA from 1 species